rnacentral:rRNA from 1 species
UACGUAGGGUCCGAGCGUUGUCCGGAAUUAUUGGGCGUAAAGGGCUCGUAGGCGGUUUGUCACGUCGGGAGUGAAAACUCAGGGCUCAACCCUGAGCGUGCUUCCGAUACGGGCAGACUAGAGGUAUGCAGGGGAGAACGGAAUUCCUGGUGUAGCGGUGGAAUGCGCAAAUAUCAGGAGGAACACCGGUGGCGAAGGCGGUUCUCUGGACAGUUCCUGACGCUGAGGCACGAAGGCCAGGGGAGCAAACGGG